rnacentral:rRNA from 1 species
CUGGCUCAGGAUGAACGCUAGCGACAGGCUAACACAUGCAAGUCGAGGGGCAGCAUAAAAGUAGCAAUACUUGGUGGCGACCGGCGCACGGGUGAGUAACGCGUAUGCAACCUACCUAUCAGGAGGGGAAUAACCCGGCGAAAGUCGGACUAAUACCGCAUAAAACAGGGGCACCGCAUGGUGAUAUUUGUUAAAGAAAUUCGCUGAUAGAUGGGCAUGCGUUCCAUUAGGUAGUUGGUGAGGUAACGGCUCACCAAGCCGACGAUGGAUAGGGGAACUGAGAGGUUGGUCCCCCACACUGGUACUGAGACACGGACCAGACUCCUACGGGAGGCAGCAGUGAGGAAUAUUGGUCAAUGGGCGGGAGCCUGAACCAGCCAAGUCGCGUGAAGGAAGAAGGAUCUAUGGUUCGUAAACUUCUUUUGCAGGGGAAUAAAGUGCAGGACGUGUCCUGUUUUGUAUGUACCCUGAGAAUAAGGAUCGGCUAACUCCGUGCCAGCAGCCGC